AAUAAGAUGGCCGAGGAUAAGCACUAGAUUGUAAAUCUAGCUACGAGAAAAAUUUUAACUCUCUUAUUA
rnacentral:tRNA from 1 species